CUACGGAGGGUGCAAGCGUUGUUCGGAAUCACUGGGCGUAAAGGGCGCGCAGGCGGUUUGGUAAGUCAGAUGUGAAAGCCCACGGCUCAACCGUGGAAGUGCAUUUGAAACUGUCAGACUUGAGUACUAGAGGGGAAAGUGGAAUUCCCGGUGUAGAGGUGAAAUUCGUAGAUAUCGGGAGGAAUACCGGUGGCGAAGGCGACUUUCUGGCUAGAUACUGACGCUGAGGCGCGAAAGCGUGGGGAGCAAACAGGAUUAGAAACCCCAGUAGUCC
rnacentral:rRNA from 1 species